rnacentral:rRNA from 1 species
CGUAGGAAUCUAUCCUGGAGCGGGGGACAACUCGGGGAAACUCGGGCUAAUACCGCAUACCUAGUUUACUAGAAAGAGGGCCUCUUCUUGAAAGCUCUCACUUCAGGGUGAGCCUGCGUCAGAUUAGCUUGUUGGUGGGGUAAAGGCCUACCAAGGCGACGAUCUGUAGCUGUUCUGAGAGGAAGAUCAGCCACACUGGGACUGAGACACGGCCCAGACUCCUACGGGAGGCAGCAGUGGGGAAUAUUGGACAAUGGGGGAAACCCUGAUCCGGCAAUGCCGCGUGUGUGAAGAAGGCCUGAGGGUUGUAAAGCACUUUCAGUAGGGAGGAAAAGUUAUUGGUUAAUAACCAAUAACCCUGACGUUACCUACAGAAGAAGCACCGGCUAACUCUGUGCCAGCAGCCGCGGUAAUACAGAGGGUGCAAGCGUUAAUCGGAAUUACUGGGCGUAAAGGGCGUGUAGGUGGUUAUUUAAGUUAGAUGUGAAAGCCCCGGGCUCAACCUGGGACCUGCAUCUAAAACUGAAUGGCUAGAGUACAGUAGAGGGAAGUGGAAUUUCUAGUGUAGCGGUGAAAUGCGUAGAUAUUAGAAAGAACACCAGUGGCGAAGGGGCUUCCUGGACUGAUACUGACACUGAGGCGCGAAAGUGGGUAGCGAACAGGAUUAAAUACCCUGGUAGUCCACGCCGUAAACGAUGAGAACUAGCUGUUGGGUGGUUGA